ensembl:lncRNA
ACCUGUGAAUUAAUAGGGAUAUUCAUUGACCGUUACAGGCAUAUAGGCCUAAAAAAAGCCCAUUAUUAAUAAAACAAAGGCAAGUAUUUGUAUUGCUGAAAGUCACACCCUUAUAUUUUGUCAAAGAAGAGGUCUUAGUGGUGUGGUUUAUGAUGAGGUUUCGGAUAAAGUGUAGGUUUCCAUUGGAGGAUAAGACAGGUGGUUUUGGGGAUGCGCCUUUUUGACCUGACGUCACUGGUGGGGGUAUAAAAUCCCUUAGAUUUGUCCUCCAGUCAUUCACUGUGAAAAGCCAUCGACAGGACAGUGACACUAAGCGGCUGAGAAAGAAACCGACAACAAAAUGGCUAAACUGUUGACGGCUUACAUUGGAUUCAUUCUCCUUGCCUUGCCUUGUUCAUCACAGGUCCACGCGCAAAACACUACCACAAAGUCCCCUGCCGUGACUGCUAUGACCGAAGCUGGCGGCGCGAGUUCCAACAUGACCAAGAUGCCCGCUGUUGUCGCUACCAAGAACAUCACCAUUCCCAAAGGAGCCAGUGUGUCCUUGCUGUCCAGCUCAGUCACGCUCUUUUCCAUCGCGUUGGCGGGCGCUCUCCUACACGGCCGCUUCUAGAAGGCUCCUGUGCACUGAACAGAUACUGCAAUGACUAACAUCAGCGGACUAGAUGGGGAAAUUGUUUUAGGAAGAGCACACUUUUUUUAUAACUUAAAGGCAGUCGUGUUCACCUAACCAUAGAUUGAUUGCAAUUAGGCUGUUGCAGUGCUGCAGAACAUCUUUCUAAUUCACUGAUGGGAUUUCUUAUUAGGGGAUCACACCUCCCUGGCCACUUCAAACCAGUAGGCCUAUACAACUUGUGCACUGGCCAUAGGGCCUAUGGUGUGGACCCCUCCAUGGCGGCAGGCCAUGACGAGGAUGUGUGAAACUGGACUCUUUGACUUGUUUGGUCCCACUGGUCUUGUGUAGAUGGCAGGGUUGUUUUUUUAAUGUAUGAAGUGUAAAUUUGCGCAGUGUUUGUUUAGUCUACUAAUAUAAGGAAGUUGGGGUGCAUUGUGGAACAUAAUGUAUCCAGUAGUCUGAUCUUUGGCAUGCAUAGGUGUAGUAUUUCUAAACCUGCAAUGGACACUAAAGCUUGAUUAUUUUAAGUAUUAAUUUAGUUUAAAUUGUCAUGUGUUAACAAAUUAUUUGAAAUGUACUUGUGACAAAAUGUAUUUGUUCUUGUAGGCUACAAUAAAAUUUCAUGGGCCUAACUGAUUUGUGUCUCUGUAGUCUAAAGCUUGACGUGCCAACUAAUUGGCCUAGUAGGAACGGCGCAUACUGAACUUCUUUUGAUACUUUAUGCAACGCUCUCUUGGUUUCACCAAUUUGACUGAAGUGUGAUGUUGAGCCACAUUUUUCAAUGUCAGUGUUUGACACCCUGGGUUGACUCCUGUGCAGUAUUCAGUUUCUGUCACCUUUUGAAGUUAAUGUUUUGGAUGUGGUUGAAACACUACGUUUAGCUAUUCAUUUUGAAUGUUAAACGGAUAAGGUUUGAUGGGGUUAAAACAAACGGGUACCGCUAGGCUUGAACACAACCUUCAGAUUGGAAUUAUUUUAGCUAGCGAAUAUUAGCAUUGCUAGUUAGACUGUUUGCUAGUAAUUAACAUCGCCAUCUCUAGAAUUUCACAUGCCAGUUUCCUAAUUUGCUUUUAGCAAUGUCUAUCGUACUGUGUUUCCAUGCCACUAAGUGUAAUUUGACAACUGUCACAUUAGCCUGGGGUGCAACCAAUGUCUAGGGCAAAUAUUUAAUGCAGUUAUGGUGGUACUCAUGUCUGACAAGUGUACUGAGAAGCUAAACCAACCCAGGGCCAUAGCAAAACAUGUCAGAUGGUGUCACUGGCCUGAAUCUAAUUCAAUCAGGAACCAGUCUACAUCUGUACAGCGUCACAUUAGCCUCAACAAUUUUUCUUGAGCUAUUUUUAUAAUCGAGGGAUGACCAUUGACCCUGUUAGUGCACAGUUGGGUGCCAGACUGAUCCCCUAUUUCUGAACGGAUGCCGGGACCUACCAGAUUGCCUGCUGCAAUUAUUCGAAAUGUCCAGUUUGCAGCCCAACAUGCUGGUCUUCUCUAGGCUGCAAGGGGUCCCUCAUCAGCAUCAUGCAGACAUCCCCUCGCUGUGAGCAUUCCUGUGAAUGGAACAAUCUGCCACAUGUUGGCCAGCAACCUUCACCUGUCAGUGGCAACUGCUUUCACAGGCUCAUUUGUACAAAUACAAAAGGUAACCUUGACAUUUGACCCAAUUGUGAAACAUUUUUGUGAAGACAUUUGAUUAUUUAGAUGCAUAUACUGCCCUGCCAAGCAAAAAGGCAGUAACUGCUCAUUUGGUCAAAUGCUACAUUAAAUACAUAAUCAUGUGGACAAGUAUCCUGCCUUGUAUUGU